rnacentral:lncRNA from 1 species
UUCCAAAUUCGAAUAAUUCCCUUGAUUCCGGGUAUCAUCGUAAUCAUAGGUGAUUUUUUCCUUAACUGAUUUCUAUCAGUUAGCGUAUAAGAUCUAAUUACGAUGACUCAAUAUUAAUGGAGUCGUUUCUGACGCAGGGAUUCUUUAAUGGGAUUAUAUCGAUUCUUAUUUGAAUCUUGAUUUUCUCCGAAAUUUUUGCAUUGGUGAUUCUGUCAAUCAUAAAUCGGGCAUAGCAAGAUAUGCGGAAAGAGAUAUGCAGAGAUAUUCAAUGGAGGAUAUUUCGUUUUGAUGAAGAACAGUUGGACGUAAUGGAGGACACGUAUAGUUGGGCUUAAUGUAAAUGGGCCACUAA